AAAAACUAUGGAGAAAAAGGAGGUCUGCCCAAGGCUGGAACGAAGUCAUCCUGCCUCUUCAUCAAAAGAGAGAGACCUCCCAAAGCCAACGCCCUCCUGAGGGGCCCAGGUAUUCUGGCAUCUAUUCUGUUGUGGCUAAUGCUGUCUCUGCAGAGGAUCAGAAAGGAAGCCGCUGGCACAAUGGACUCUGGGGCAUCCUCAACCGGGCGGUGAAGCCUCUGGGGGCAAAGGAGCGUCGUGGGAGAGGAGCGUCGUGGGAGAAAGACAAGCUAGUCUGAUGCUUCCCUACCCAUGCCAACUUCCCGCGUCUCGUCUUGAAGCGAGAGCAGAGGCCUGAGACCCGGGCGCCAUUGCUGGCCAGGCUCCCCUCCCCCACACUCCUUUCUUUGCUUCUUGAAGACCCGGGAGGGAGGAGGCGGCAGGCGCCUCGGUGGAUAGAGCUGCUAUUGUGACCUUCCCGGGCUGAGCGGGGAACCCAGCGGAGUGUGUACUGCUCGCGGUGGCGGGGGAGGAGGUGACUGUGUGCAAGCCUCGAGUGCAGAGGGGGGUGGCACCCGGGAAUAAAUAAAGGCUUGCAACCUCGGGCACUUGGACCCUUCCGAGAGCGUUUGGUUGUGUUUAGACUUUGGUGCUUCCUAACACUAAUUGCAGGCUCAAGAGGAGCGGAAUUUAUGGCGAAGGCCAAGGCGGCUUGUUUAUAAUUUAUGAAGUUUUAAAUGGUUGUGCCGCGGGCCCAGCUCUCUCGGGCGGGCGGCCGCGUGGGAGUGUGCCCUCCCAGAACUCGCCGCCGCCCCCCACCCACGCUAGGAGUGUGUGUGCCUGUCACGUGACUCGCGUUGUUGGCAGGAAAGAACCAAGCAAUUCUCUGAAGUCUCCAGAACUUCAGAAGGUAGGCGAAGGCGGCAGGUUUGGUCGAAGCGACCCCUCCCCCUUCUUCCAGCAUCCUCCGUCCACUGCGGGGCCUGUGAGGCUGCGGCUGCCUAGACAGCGGGAACCCCCAACCUGACACUUCCUUAGAGCCUAUGUGUGAGAGGAAGCUGAUGUCAGCCGGGCUAGACACUGUUUAAAGUCUAAUCCAUGAAACCCUAAGCCACAGAUGACUCUUGGGGUUUUGCAGACACCCGCAGACUCAGCAGAUACUCCUGCGGUAACACACCGCGCUGGGAAACGCCUGAAGCCAUGAUGCAUUAUGUAUUUUUAUUAUUAUUUAUGGUAUGAAGAGGAGAUGAGAGAAACCGGGCUGAAUCUAAACAGCCUGACAAUUCAUCUAUUUAAUAUUUAGCCAGUUAAGAAAGGUGGCUGUGGUUCCCUAUGAGGCAGCUAGCAUUUCUUUGAUUUCCUUGAUAGCUUAAAAAAAUAAUUUCUUACAAUUAUAAAUUCUGUCUAGGAAUGCAAGUUUCAGAGAAAACAAUGUUAAGCCUUGAGAGUGGGUAAAAUAUGCCUUCGAUUGAAGUCAUUUAUUCUGUUGAUACAAUUCUACAACAUAUAUACUUUAAAACUUGCUCAGAUAGAGUGAAAUUUAGCAAAAGGAUAACCCCUCCCACCCCAGCCUAACAUGCCAUUUUUAAAACAGCACAAAGGAACAAGGAAACUAAAUAUUCUUUUGAGCCAUCAUUACUGAGUGAAACACAAACAUCCAAAUAGAAAACCGAUUGCUGUUGCACCAGAAGAGUAGAAGUUACUUCCACACAAUGGGAAUUUCACCUCGUGUCACCAGGCUGGUAGUGGGAGUUGCAUAUUUGCCAAACCAACUAGAGAUGCGUGGGCGGACUUUGCUGAACUACAAAAUAAUUGAACCUUGUCUGAAGGCCUUUUUCCAAGUGCUCCCUUCUAUAGAAGUGGGUGUAAGUGCUCGACCCUACCUAGAGUCACGCUAAUAAUAUUUACAAAACGAUUAUAAAUUCUGUAGACUAUGUGUCCGUUUUGCACAAAGAAACAGGAGUAAGCAAGGUAUUUAUACGGGUUGUGUUCCAUUAAUGGACCUUUCAUUAUUUUACAUUGUGAAGAAUGUUUGUUUUCUUUAAAAAUGAACUGUUGACCACU
ensembl:lincRNA Haglr Hoxd antisense growth associated long non-coding RNA